AUGCACCGAAGCUGCGGCAGCGAACGUAUCACCCAAGACAACUUUACGGAGUUGACGAUUGACGGAGCGAAGCGACGUCAAAGCGUUCAUUAAAGUCGAGUUGGCUUAGGGAUACGUUCGUUGGGUAGGGGAGCGUUCUGUAAGCCUGUGAAGGUGUGUCGUGAGGCAUGCUGGAGGUAUCAGAAGUGCGAAUGCUGACAUAAGUAACGAUAAAGCGGGUGAAAAGCCCGCUCGCCGGAAGACCAAGGGUUCCUGUCCAACGUUAAUCGGGGCAGGGUGAGUCGACCCCUAAGGCGAGGCCGAAAGGCGUAGUCGAUGGGAAACGGGUUAAUAUUCCCGUACUUGGUGUUACUGCGAAGGGGGGACGGAGAAGGCUAUGUUGGCCGGGCGACGGUUGUCCCGGUUUAAGCGUGUAGGUGUG
rnacentral:rRNA from 1 species